rnacentral:rRNA from 1 species
AUUGAACGCUGGCGGAAUGCUUUACACAUGCAAGUCGAACGGUAGAGGGGGCAACCCCUCGAGAGUGGCGAACGGGUGAGUAAUAUAUCGGAACGUGCCCAGUCGUGGGGGAUAACGUAGCGAAAGUUACGCUAAUACCGCAUACGAUCUAAGGAUGAAAGCGGGGGAUCGCAAGACCUCGCGCGAUUGGAGCGGCCGAUAUCAGAUUAGGUAGUUGGUGAGGUAAAGGCUCACCAAGCCAACGAUCUGUAGCUGGUCUGAGAGGACGAUCAGCCACACUGGGACUGAGACACGGCCCAGACUCCUACGGGAGGCAGCAGUGGGGAAUUUUGGACAAAUGGGGGGCAACCCUGAUCCAGCAAUGCCGCGUGAGUGAAGAAGGCCUCGGUGUAAAGCUCUUUGUUCAGGGAAGAAACAGACAGCUCUAACACAGUACUGCGAAUGA